UACGGAGGAAGCAAGCGUUAUCCGGAAUUACUGGGCGUAAAGAGUUGCGUAGGUGGCAAAGUGUGUCGAUAGUGAAAGCGUGGGGCUCAACCUCAUAUCCAUUAUCGAAACUGCUUAGCUAGAGGACGAGAGAGGUUAUUGGAAUUCCCAGUGUAGGAGUGAAAUCCGCAGAUAUUGGGAGGAACACCGAUGGCGUAGGCAGAUAACUGGCUCGUUCCUGACACUAAGGCACGAAAGCGUGGGGAGCAAACGGG
rnacentral:rRNA from 1 species